AAACCAUCCGAUGAUAUUGAUGACGUAAUCUUUGCCUGCGGAAGACUCUGCGAUGACUAUACUGCGUUCUUCCACCAAGAGUAACGGUUUAUACGCAAUGACCUAUUCUGUUAGUGAUAUUGUUCCUCUCCCUAACCCAUCAUUCAAGGUGUUUUCAAGUACGUAACAUCCUAGUGCUUUCAGAGUGACAGUUAAUGUGGCAAAAUUCAGUGACUUCCGACAGACUCCCCAGCAAUGACCGUCUCUUUUCCUCAAGUUAUCCCCUGAAAGUAGUGGUUCGUUCAAGGUGUUUUCAAGUACGUAACAUCCUAGUGCUUUCAGAGUGACAGUUUAUGUGGCAAAAUUCAGUGACUUCCGACAGACUCCCCAGCAAUGACCGUCGCUUUU